UAAGCGACUAAGCGUACACGGUGGAUGCCCUGGCAGUCAGAGGCGAUGAAGGACGUGCUAAUCUGCGAUAAGCGUCGGUAAGGUGAUAUGAACCGUUAUAACCGGCGAUUUCCGAAUGGGGAAACCCAGUGUGAUUCGUCACACUAUCAUUAACUGAAUCCAUAGGUUAAUGAGGCGAACCGGGGGAACUGAAACAUCUAAGUACCCCGAGGAAAAGAAAUCAACCGAGAUUCCCCCAGUAGCGGCGAGCGAACGGGGAGCAGCCCAGAGCCUGAAUCAGUGUGUGUGUUAGUGGAAGCGUCUGGAAAGGCGCGCGAUACAGGGUGACAGCCCCGUACACAAAAAUGCACAUGCUGUGAGCUCGAUGAGUAGGGCGGGACACGUGGUAUCCUGUCUGAAUAUGGGGGGACCAUCCUCCAAGGCUAAAUACUCCUGACUGACCGAUAGUGAACCAGUACCGUGAGGGAAAGGCGAAAAGAACCCCGGCGAGGGGAGUGAAAAAGAACCUGAAACCGUGUACGUACAAGCAGUGGGAGCACGCUUAGGCGUGUGACUGCGUACCUUUUGUAUAAUGGGUCAGCGACUUAUAUUCUGUAGCAAGGUUAACCGAAUAGGGGAGCCGAAGGGAAACCGAGUCUUAACUGGGCGUUAAGUUGCAGGGUAUAGACCCGAAACCCGGUGAUCUAGCCAUGGGCAGGUUGAAGGUUGGGUAACACUAACUGGAGGACCGAACCGACUAAUGUUGAAAAAUUAGCGGAUGACUUGUGGCUGGGGGUGAAAGGCCAAUCAAACCGGGAGAUAGCUGGUUCUCCCCGAAAGCUAUUUAGGUAGCGCCUCGUGAACUCAUCUCCGGGGGUAGAGCACUGUUUCGGCAAGGGGGUCAUCCCGACUUACCAACCCGAUGCAAACUGCGAAUACCGGAGAAUGUUAUCACGGGAGACACACGGCGGGUGCUAACGUCCGUCGUGAAGAGGGAAACAACCCAGACCGCCAGCUAAGGUCCCAAAGUCAUGGUUAAGUGGGAAACGAUGUGGGAAGGCCCAGACAGCCAGGAUGUUGGCUUAGAAGCAGCCAUCAUUUAAAGAAAGCGUAAUAGCUCACUGGUCGAGUCGGCCUGCGCGGAAGAUGUAACGGGGCUAAACCAUGCACCGAAGCUGCGGCAGCGACGCUUAUGCGUUGUUGGGUAGGGGAGCGUUCUGUAAGCCUGUGAAGGUGUACUGUGAGGUAUGCUGGAGGUAUCAGAAGUGCGAAUGCUGACAUAAGUAACGAUAAAGCGGGUGAAAAGCCCGCUCGCCGGAAGACCAAGGGUUCCUGUCCAACGUUAAUCGGGGCAGGGUGAGUCGACCCCUAAGGCGAGGCCGAAAGGCGUAGUCGAUGGGAAACAGGUUAAUAUUCCUGUACUUGGUGUUACUGCGAAGGGGGGACGGAGAAGGCUAUGUUGGCCGGGCGACGGUUGUCCCGGUUUAAGCGUGUAGGCUGGUUUUCCAGGCAAAUCCGGAAAAUCAAGGCUGAGGCGUGAUGACGAGGCACUACGGUGCUGAAGCAACAAAUGCCCUGCUUCCAGGAAAAGCCUCUAAGCAUCAGGUAACAUCAAAUCGUACCCCAAACCGACACAGGUGGUCAGGUAGAGAAUACCAAGGCGCUUGAGAGAACUCGGGUGAAGGAACUAGGCAAAAUGGUGCCGUAACUUCGGGAGAAGGCACGCUGAUAUGUAGGUGAAGCGACUUGCUCGUGGAGCUGAAAUCAGUCGAAGAUACCAGCUGGCUGCAACUGUUUAUUAAAAACACAGCACUGUGCAAACACGAAAGUGGACGUAUACGGUGUGACGCCUGCCCGGUGCCGGAAGGUUAAUUGAUGGGGUCAGCGCAAGCGAAGCUCUUGAUCGAAGCCCCGGUAAACGGCGGCCGUAACUAUAACGGUCCUAAGGUAGCGAAAUUCCUUGUCGGGUAAGUUCCGACCUGCACGAAUGGCGUAAUGAUGGCCAGGCUGUCUCCACCCGAGACUCAGUGAAAUUGAACUCGCUGUGAAGAUGCAGUGUACCCGCGGCAAGACGGAAAGACCCCGUGAACCUUUACUAUAGCUUGACACUGAACAUUGAGCCUUGAUGUGUAGGAUAGGUGGGAGGCUUUGAAGUGUGGACGCCAGUCUGCAUGGAGCCGACCUUGAAAUACCACCCUUUAAUGUUUGAUGUUCUAACGUUGACCCGUAAUCCGGGUUGCGGACAGUGUCUGGUGGGUAGUUUGACUGGGGCGGUCUCCUCCUAAAGAGUAACGGAGGAGCACGAAGGUUGGCUAAUCCUGGUCGGACAUCAGGAGGUUAGUGCAAUGGCAUAAGCCAGCUUGACUGCGAGCGUGACGGCGCGAGCAGGUGCGAAAGCAGGUCAUAGUGAUCCGGUGGUUCUGAAUGGAAGGGCCAUCGCUCAACGGAUAAAAGGUACUCCGGGGAUAACAGGCUGAUACCGCCCAAGAGUUCAUAUCGACGGCGGUGUUUGGCACCUCGAUGUCGGCUCAUCACAUCCUGGGGCUGAAGUAGGUCCCAAGGGUAUGGCUGUUCGCCAUUUAAAGUGGUACGCGAGCUGGGUUUAGAACGUCGUGAGACAGUUCGGUCCCUAUCUGCCGUGGGCGCUGGAGAACUGAGGGGGGCUGCUCCUAGUACGAGAGGACCGGAGUGGACGCAUCACUGGUGUUCGGGUUGUCAUGCCAAUGGCACUGCCCGGUAGCUAAAUGCGGAAGAGAUAAGUGCUGAAAGCAUCUAAGCACGAAACUUGCCCCGAGAUGAGUUCUCCCUGACUCCUUGAGAGUCCUGAAGGAACGUUGAAGACGACGACGUUGAUAGGCCGGGUGUGUAAGCGCAGCGAUGCGUUGAGCUAACCGGUACUAAUGAACCGUGAGGCUUAACCU
rnacentral:rRNA from 1 species